rnacentral:rRNA from 1 species
CUUGCUGAGAGGUGAGGGUGCCCGAAAGGGAGCCGUAACACAGGUGCUGCAUGGCUGUCGUCAGCUCGUGUCGUGAGAUGUUGGGUUAAGUCCCGCAACGAGCGCAACCCUUGUCCCUAGUUGCUACGCAAGAGCACUCUAGGGAGACUGCCGGUGACAAACCGGAGGAAGGUGGGGAUGACGUCAAGUCCUCAUGGCCCUUAUGGGUAGGGCUUCACACGUCAUACAAUGGUCGGAACAGAGGGUUGCCAAGCCGCGAGGUGGAGCCAAUCCCA